AAUGGGCGAAAGCCUGACGCAGCCACGCCGCGUGCCGGAUGAAGGCCUAUGGGUUGUAAACGGCUUUUACUAGGGAAGAAGAGAGGGUUUCGAUCUUCUGUGACGGUACCUAGUGAAUAAGCACCGGCUAACUCCGUGCCAGCAGCCGCGGUAAUACGGAGGGUGCAAGCGUUGUCCGGAAUCAUUGGGUGUAAAGGGUACGUAGGCGGGAGCCUAAGUCUGGGGUGAAAUCUUGCCGCUUAACGGUAAAAUGGCCCUGGAUACUGGGUUUCUUGAGUGCAGAAGAGGCAGGUGGAAUUCGUGGUGUAGCGGUGAAAUGCUUAGAUAUCACGAAGAACAUCAGUGGCGAAGGCGGCCUGCUGGUCUGCAACUGACGCUGAGGUACGAAAGCGUGGGGAGCGAACAGGAUU
rnacentral:rRNA from 1 species